AAAUAUAUCCAUUUUAUUCAAUACAACUAAAGAGCAAAUAUAAUAACUAAAUUAUGUGAUGUUAUGAUGCAAUUGCAGGAUUUGAAGAACAUUAACAUGGGACAUGCAUAAUCAGUGAUAAAAGCGACGGUGUCUGAUAAGAACGAAGUUGGUAUGUCAUGGUAUAUUAUAGAUGUGCACCGCAACAUAUCAUGUAGUCUUGUCCCCAGCUUCUUGGCUUCUCAUGAAAUUCUUCUCAAAGAUUAUGCAAAAGAAAGAAUAAAAAAUUAAUAUCUGUGAUUAAAAUAGAAAGUGCAUG
rnacentral:lncRNA from 1 species